rnacentral:rRNA from 1 species
CUACGGGACGCUCCAGUCGAGAAUCUUCCGCAAUGGACGAAAGUCUGACGGAGCGACGCCGCGUGCGGGAUGAAGGCCUUCGGGUUGUAAACCGCUGUCAGUGGGGAGGAAAUGCGCCAGGGUCCUCCCUGGUGUUUGACCGAUCCGCAGAGGAAGCGCAGGCUAAGUUCGUGCCAGCAGCCGCGGUAACACGAACUGCGCGAACGUUAUUCGGAAUCACUGGGCUUAAAGAGUUCGUAGGCGGCCUUUCAAGUCGGGUGUGAAAUCCCUCGGCUCAACCGAGGAAUUGCGCCUGAUACUGUUGGGCUUGAGGGGGAUAGGGGUGAGCGGAACUGAUGGUGGAGCGGUGAAAUGCGUUGAUAUCAUCAGGAACACCGGUGGCGAAGGCGGCUCACUGGAUCUCUUCUGACGCUGAGGAACGAAAGCUAGGGGAGCGAACGGGAUUAGAUACCCGUGUAGUC